rnacentral:rRNA from 1 species
UUGAACGCUGGCGGCAUGCCUUACACAUGCAAGUCGAACGGUAACAGGUCUUCGGAUGCUGACGAGUGGCGAACGGGUGAGUAAUACAUCGGAACGUGCCCAGACGUGGGGGAUAACGAGGCGAAAGCUUUGCUAAUACCGCAUACGAUCUAAGGAUGAAAGCAGGGGACCGCAAGGCCUUGCGCGUUUGGAGCGGCCGAUGGCGGAUUAGGUAGUUGGUGGGAUAAAAGCUUACCAAGCCGACGAUCUGUAGCUGGUCUGAGAGGACGACCAGCCACACUGGGACUGAGACACGGCCCAGACUCCUACGGGAGGCAGCAGUGGGGAAUUUUGGACAAUGGGCGAAAGCCUGAUCCAGCAAUGCCGCGUGCAGGAUGAAGGCCUUCGGGUUGUAAACUGCUUUUGUACGGAACGAAAAGGCUCUGGCUAAUACCUGGGGCACAUGACGGUACCGUAAGAAUAAGCACCGGCUAACUACGUG